GCAGCAGUGAGGAAUAUUGGGCAAUGCCCGAAAGGGUGACCCAGCAACGCCGCGUGGAGGAUGAAGUCCUUCUGGAUGUAAACUCCUUUUAGAGGGGACGAAAAGCCCGUUAAGACGGGAAUUGACGGUACCCUCAGAAAAAGCACCGGCUAACUACGUGCCAGCAGCCGCGGUAAUACGUAGGGUGCAAGCGUUGUCCGGAUUCACUGGGUGUAAAGGGUGCGCAGGCGGGCUCUUAAGUCAAAGGUGAAAUCUCACGGCUUAACCGUGAAAUUGCCUUUGAUACUGAGAGUCUUGAGUACGGGAGAGGGAGAUGGAAUUCCAGGUGUAGCGGUGAAAUGCGUAGAUAUCUGGAGGAACACCGGAGGCGAAGGCGGUCUCCUGGCCCGUUACUGACGCUCAUGCACGAAAGCGUGGGGAGCAAACAGGAUUAGAUACCCUGGUAGUCCACGCCCUAAACGAUGGGUACUAGAUGUCGGUCCCGAAAGGGGUCGGUGUCGAAGCUAACGCAUUAAGUA
rnacentral:rRNA from 1 species